UACGGGGGGGGCAAGCGUUGUUCGGAAUUACUGGGCGUAAAGGGCUCGUAGGCGGCCAACUAAGUCGGAUGUGAAAUCCCCGGGCUCAACCCGGGAACUGCGUCCGAUACUGGAAGGCUUGAAUCCGGGAGAGGGAUGUGGAAUUCCAGGUGUAGCGGUGAAAUGCGUAGAUAUCUGGAGGAACACCAAUGGCGAAAGCAGGUAACUGGACUAUUACUGACACUCAGCUGCGAAAGCUAGGGGAGCAACAGG
rnacentral:rRNA from 1 species